AUGAGGAAUUUAAUGGCCGCAGUAUUUUGACUGUGCAAAGGUAGCAUAAUCAUUAGUUUCUUAAUUAGAAACUGGAAUGAAAGGUUGGACGAGAAAAUAACUGUCUCUUAAUAAAUUUUUUAGAAUUUUAUUUUUAAGUUAAAAAGCUUAAAUAAAUUUAAAAGACGAGAAGACCCUAUAGAGUUUUAUUAAUUUUAUAAUGAAAUUAUUAUUUAGAAAUUUAUUUAAUUUUUAUUAUAUAAUUAAUUUGAUUGGGGUGAUUAAAAAAUUUAAAUAACUUUUUUUUUAUUUAACCAUUAAUUUAUGAAUUAUUGAUCCAUUUUUAUGAUUAUAAGAUUAAAUUACCUUAGGGAUAACAGCGUUAUUUCUUUUUAGAGUUCUAAUCGAUAAAGAAGUUUGCGACCUCGAUGUUGGAUUAAAAUUAAUUUUUGGUGUAGAAGCUAAAAUAUUAGGUCUGUUCGACCUUUAAAAUUUUACAUGAUCUGAGUUUAAACCGGUGUGAGCCAGGUUGGUUUCUAUCUUUAAAAAGAUAAUUAUAUUUUAGUACGAAAGGACCAAGUAUUAUAAAAAUUUUAU
rnacentral:rRNA from 1 species